AGUGAACGCUGGUGGCAUGCUUAACACAUGCAAGUCGAACGAGAACGGAUUAUAGCUUGCUAUAAUUGUCAGCUAAGUGGCGCACGGGUGAGUAAUGUAUAGGUAAUAUGCCUCUUACUAAGGGAUAACAAAUGGAAACGUUUGCUAAUACCUUAUACUCCUUAUUAACAGAAGUUAAUAAGGGAAAGAUUUAUUGGUAAGAGAUUAGCCUGUAUUGUAUCAGUUAGUUGGUGGGGUAAUGGCUUACCAAGACUAUGACACAUAACUGGUUUGAGAGGAUGAUCAGUCACACUGGAACUGAGACACGGUCCAGACUCCUACGGGAGGCAGCAGUGGGGAAUAUUGCACAAUGGACGAAAGUCUGAUGCAGCAACGCCGCGUGGAGGAUGACACAUUUCGGUGCGUAAACUCCUUUUAUAUGAGAAGAUAAUGACGGUAUUAUACGAAUAAGCACCGGCUAACUUCGUGCCAGCAGCCGCUGUAA
rnacentral:rRNA from 1 species